AGAUGCCUCCCUUUAGAAGUAACUAUUAUAUAUUAUAAAUCAAGAUGAGACCAAGCCACACAGUUUGGCUCCAGAUCUGAACUUUCCCAAUAUCUAAGGGCUCUCUGGAUAUGAGCUUCAGUUCAUAGACUGAAUGAAGCCUGCAGCAUGUUUGAUCCAUUUCAACACAAAGAGUAAUAUUAUUCACUGUAAACUAAAAACUUCAGGUAAUAGACCUGUUAUUAGAAGUAAGGAAAGUGAAAGAAGGUAUGAGAAAUGAAAACUCCUUCACCUACAGUAAAGUGUCGUGUGUGUGUGUGUGUGUGUAAGUAAGUAAGUAAGUAAGUAAAAAUCUUCCUUACUUGAAAGCAGCAGGACUGUAGCACUCAUCUGGGCUCUGUUAGUCCCAAACUCUUUUUCACCAGGUUCCCCACUGUUGCAAAGAAGCAGACCUUUACAAUGUCGUGUCCCCUGGAAUUCUCUGUGCUGGCUGCCCAGCUGUCUCUCUGAAGUACCAGAGCAGUCGCAGGUUGAAAGAAGGAUGAAGAGCCAGCAUCAUGAGCCCAGCCUGCUCUCCACAGAGCCACCAGCAAGUGCCCAAGAGUCUGGGAAUUGCUGGUAUAUCAGAAUUCUAAUGUUUUGGCUGCAGCUCAACAGGAAACUAGAUUUGUAGUCAUUGCAAUUUACAAGUAAGAAAAUAGGAGGAACAACUGUGCCGCUUCAAAAAACAAAAUAAAGCUCCAGUAGUACAGCUGACAAGGUCGCAUCUGUGUGGGAGGGGUUUUAACUCAUGUGGAAACGGUGCUCCCCUCGUGUUAUGUGAGAAGAGAAUUCAUAUCUGUCCUGGCUGUGGUAGCCACACAUAUUGCAUUCGAAAGGAUCGCGGAACCCAUGACAGCCCAUGUGGAUGGUGUACAUCACAUGAUCCAAGAAAAGAACUCUACAGUGUUCGCACUUGUAAACUUUUACUUGCUCCCCAUUGCUGGUGAUCACUUUGAAAGCAUCGUGAGAAUUGUCAGUACCUGCCCUCAGGACUUCAUAUUGCCUCUGUUCUUCUUUUAUAGACAGGCCAUUUCUUGCAUGGGGAACUAUGUGAUUCGUCAGGUAAA